rnacentral:tRNA from 1 species
UCUCCCAUAGCUCAGUCGGUAGAGCGACGGACUGUUAAUCCGCAGGUCCCUGGUUCGAGCCCAGGUUAAAAACCCA